rnacentral:rRNA from 1 species
UUAAUUGUUGUUCUUUAACCUUGAAAAGUCGAACGGCAGCACGGGUGCUUGCACCUGGUGGCUAGUGGCGAACGGGUGAGUAAUACAUCGGAACAUGUCCUGUAGUGGGGGAUAGCCCGGCGAAAGCCGGAUUAAUACCGCAUACGGAUCUACGGAUGAAAGCGGGGGACCUUCGGGCCUCGCGCUAUAGGGUUGGCCGAUGGCUGAUUACCUAGUUGGUGGGGUAAAGGCCCACCAAGGCGACGAUCAGUAGCUGGUCUGAGAGGACGACCAGCCACACUGGGACUGAGACACGGCCCAGACUCCUACGGGAGGCAGCAGUGGGGAAUUUUGGACAAUGGGCGAAAGCCUGAUCCAGCAAUGCCGCGUGUGUGAACAAGGCCUUCGGGUUGUAAAGCACUUUUGUCCGGAAAGAAAUCCUGAGGGCUAAUAUCCUUCGGGGAUGACGGUACCGGAAGAAUAAGCACCGGCUAACUACGUGCCAGCAGCCGCGGUAAUACGUAGGGUGCGAGCGUUAAUCGGAAUUACUGGGCGUAAAGCGUGCGCAGGCGGUUUGCUAACACCUAUGUGAAUUCCCCGGGCUCAACCUGGGAACUGCAUUGGUGACUGGCAAGCUAGAGUAUGCCUUAUGCG